ensembl:lncRNA
UUCUUCCCCUAAACUUCUCCUGCAGUUUUGCCCCUCAAGCUUGAUGAUAGGUGUUUCUGAAAUUGCAGGGAACUGCUCAGCAUUAGAGCAAAUCCAUCCCACACUACUUGCCAGUGCACCCAGAAAACAAAGACCACCUUGGUGGAGGGGAGGCCUAGGAAGAGGGAAUGGACAGGGAUGUGGGGCCCCUAAACAAGGCAGAGUAAGCUUCUGGAAACAUGGACCUGCUCACAUCCCCCCUCUCUUCUCUCCCCUGUGCCUGUGCCUGAGUCAUAAACCCUUGGCCUAGCAUUUGAGGUUCUUCACCAUCUGACUCGUUUUGGCCUCUCCAUUCCAGCACCACCCUGCCCCAAACCACAAAGCCCCAUCAGAUCACUUCCCCACUUUGGGAAACACACUAAGCUCUUCUGUGUCUCUGUACUUCAUCACAUUAUUCCUUUAGCUUAGAGUGCUUUUCCCCACCUUCUUUACACCUGAAAACCCUACUUGUUCUUCAAGUUCCUCCUCUGUAGUCCUGUUUUGAUGCCAAGUCCAUUCCUCUCUCCUCUGGGCUUCCCCAGGCUUUCUUUACCUCUCUCUACCUCCAUUAUGACAUCUGACAUCUAUCAUUUGAUCUGCCAUAUGAGGCUUAGUUGGUUCCCUGUCUCUCCUCACUUGAUCCUGAGAACCUUCAGGGAAGGAUAAUGUUUUCUUCAUCUUUUAGUCCCCAGCACAGUACCUGGUACAUAGUGGGUGCUCAGUGAAACCUUGCCGACACAUUGAAUGCAGCUCCCCCAGACACACAAUAUGGGAGACAAGCCCUUUGAGAAUGCUGCUGGGGGUGUGAUUGUAAAAGAAUCACACAGGGGGUCUUGGAGUAAAAUCAUUAAGUCUGAAGAUAGGUAGAUAGAAUAUCUUUGAAAGGGUACUCUAGAAAAUCAGUAACAGUAGUUGCUGCUGGGAAGGAGAGCUGGUGACCGGGAUAACAGGGAAGUUAAUUUUCACUCAAUACUCAUUUAAAUUUUUACCAUGUGAGUAGGUUUGUAGUAUAUUUUGAAUUUUCUUUGAAGACAAUUAUGUAAUAUGUGAAUAAUGGCAAUUUUUUUCUUUCUAGUGUUUACAAGUUUUAUUUUAAUAUUUUUAUUAUACUAAGACUCCAUGAAAUUCAAAAUAGAAAUAGUGAUAGAGGUCAUAUUGUCUGUUUUCUCAUUUUUAAAUAAAUAUUCAUAUCAUUUCUUUUGGUUAGUAUUUUACUUACAUCUUUAAACAUCCUUUUACUUUUGACUUUCCUCUCUUCUUAUGUUAUUAAUAAAUCUGUUCUAACCACCUUUUUCAGCCAUUCCAAUGAUCUUUGUCUUUUAUCCAGAUAAUUUAGUCUGUUUACAUUUAUUGGGAAAUGAUUGACAUAUUUGAAUCAUUCCUACCAUCUUAUUUUGUGCUUUCUAAUCAUCCCACUUUUUCUGUUGUUUUUUUUUCACUGUCUUACUCUUUUGUAUUGUAUUGAUUGAUUUUCUCAUUCCAUUUUUUCCCCCUUUUGGUUUGGAAGUUUACACACCAAUUAUUACCCCUUUUGUACUUAUCUAGAUAUCUUGAUAUGCAUAGUUUCUGAAAUAGAAUCUAAAAUUAAUCAGCUAGGCACAGUGGCUCAUGCCUGUAAUCCCAGCACUUUGGGAGGCUGAAGCGGGUGGAUCACCUGGGGUCAGGAGUUCAAGACCAGCCUGAGUGACAGAGCAAGACCCUCUCUCUCUCAAAAAAAAAAAAA